rnacentral:rRNA from 1 species
AAGUCAGCAUGGCCUUUAUGUCCUGGGCUACACACACGCUACGAAUGGCCGGUACAAAGGGUCGCAAUACCGCGAGGUGGAGCUAAUCCCAAAAGCCGGUCUCAGUUCGGAUUGGAGUCUGCAACUCGACUCCAUGAAGUCGGAAUCGCUAGUAAUCGCGUAUCAGCGUGACGCGGUGAAUACGUUCCCGGGCCUU